CAUUUUAUUUUUAAAAGAAAACAUUAGAAAAAGUCCAAAAUGAAAGUAAAACCGAAUUGACGACGGUAUCACAAUGUUCUCAGAGCCAGAGCACUCCAAAUCGAAUUCACGACGGUAUCACAAUCGCAGUUCAUACUUCAGCUUCUCUUUCCAGCAAUUCGGCGGGCGCGACGCUCCGAAUAUGUCUACCAGUUCACAUUACAGUAGCUGCAACUCUCGUCGGUAAAUGAGAAAUUCAAUUCUGAAGCACGUAAAGAUCAGAGGACCUACAACACAGUUGUUGAUGAAGGAUGAGAAUGUAAUGGAGAAACUAACUCACCAUCUGUGUUCAUCAACAGGUUCAAGUUCUGACGAAAUAGUGAUCGGGUGAUUGGAUUGGUUAAGAAAUUCGAUAGAGUCGAUGCCUGUCAGGUUACUGAAACGGCGGAUUUCCAGGAAGACCUAACUCUGGACAGUUUGGACUUGGACAGGGUGGAUGUAAUGGCCCAGGCCCACCGCUAGCCGAUAUUGUCCUCUUUGGACUUUCCCUUUUGGGCUUCCCCUCAAGGUUUAUAAAACGCGUCUGCUAGUGAGAGGUUCCACACCCUUAUAAAGGGUGUUUCGUUCUCUUCCCCAACCGAUGUGGGAUCUCACAAUCCACCUCAUUUAGGGCCCAGCGAGUCUGCCCCCAUUCAGGGCCCAACGUUCUCGCUGGUACUCGUUCCUUUCUCUAAUUGAUGUGGGACCAUCGCUAAAUCCACUCUUUCCCAACCGAUGUGGGAUCUCACAAUCCACCCCCAUUCAGGGCUCAAUGUCCUCAUGGGCACUCGUUCCUUUCUCCAAUUGAUGUGGGAUCACCACUAAAUCCAUCCCCUUCAGGGCCCAGCGUCCUCGCUG